rnacentral:rRNA from 2 species
UGGGGAAUAUUGCACAAUGGGGGAAACCCUGAUGCAGUGACGCCGCGUGAACGAAGAAGGUAUUCGUAUCGUAAAGUUCUGUCCUAUGGGAAGAUAAUGACAGUACCAUAGAAGAAAGCUCCGGCUAAAUACGUGCCAGCAGCCGCGGUAAUACGUAUGGAGCGAGCGUUGUCCGGAAUUAUUGGGCGUAAAGGGUACGCAGGCGGUUUAAUAAGUCGAAUGUUAAAGAUCGGGGCUCAACCCCGUAAAGCAUUGGAAACUGAUAAACUUGAGUAGUGGAGAGGAAAGUGGAAUUCCUAGUGUAGUGGUGAAAUACGUAGAUAUUAGGAGGAAUACCAGUAGCGAAGGCGACUUUCUGGACACAAACUGACGCUGAGGUACGAAAGCGUGGGGAGCAAACAGG